rnacentral:rRNA from 1 species
CCCUAACCGUGCAAAGGUAGCAUAAUCAUUUGCCUUUUAAUUGGAGGCUUGUAUGAAUGGUUUGACGAGGGCUAAGCUGUCUCUUUUGAAAUAUUUAGAAAUUAACUUUUAGGUGAAGAGGCCUAAAUUUGGCUGAGGGACAAGAAGACCCUGUUGAGCUUUAGUUUUAUGCUAAAUGGAUUGUUAUGAUAUUUGUAAUAAGCGUGGACCUAGGUGUAAUGGGAUUUUAGUAUGAAUCUUUAGUUGGGGCGACUGAGGAACAGCUAGAGCUUCCUUUGGUUUAGAAGGGCAAGUAGUGUGCCGGAAAAUAAUGUAUUCUUGCAGGUUGUUUUGAUCCAGUAGAAUACUGAUUAAAGGAAAAAGUUACCACAGGGAUAACAGCGUAAUCUUUCUGGAGAGAUCUUAUCGAAAGGAGGGUUUGCGACCUCGAUGUUGGACUAA